rnacentral:rRNA from 1 species
UGGGGGAUAUUGCACAAUGGGCGAAAGCCUGAUGCAGCGACGCCGCGUGAGGGAAGACGGUCUUCGGAUUGUAAACCUCUGUCUUUGGGGAAGAAAAUGACGGUACCCAAAGAGGAAGCUCCGGCUAACUACGUGCCAGCAGCCGCGGUAAUACGUAGGGAGCAAGCGUUGUCCGGAAUUACUGGGUGUAAAGGGAGCGUAGGCGGGAUGGCAAGUAGAAUGUUAAAUCCAUCGGCUCAACCGGUGGCUGCGUUCUAAACUGCCGUUCUUGAGUGAAGUAGAG